AUUAACUCGGUUGGUGAAAGUGUCAUGCUAAUAACGUGAAAGUCACAUGUUCGAUUCUUGCAUCGGCCA
rnacentral:tRNA from 1 species